GACGAACGCUGGCGGCGUGCUUAACACAUGCAAGUCGAACGGAAAGGCCCUGCUUUUGUGGGGUGCUCGAGUGGCGAACGGGUGAGUAACACGUGAGUAACCUGCCCUUGACUUUGGGAUAACUUCAGGAAACUGGGGCUAAUACCGGAUAGGAGCUCCUGCUGCAUGGUGGGGGUUGGAAAGUUUCGGCGGUUGGGGAUGGACUCGCGGCUUAUCAGCUUGUUGGUGGGGUAGUGGCUUACCAAGGCUUUGACGGGUAGCCGGCCUGAGAGGGUGACCGGCCACAUUGGGACUGAGCUACGGCCCAGACUCGUCCGGGAGGCAGCAGUGGGGAAUAUUGCACAAUGGGCGGAAGCCUGAUGCAGCAACGCCGCGUGCGGGAUGCCGGCCUUCGGGUGGUAAACCGCUUUCGCCUGUGCCGAAGCGUGAGUGACGGUACUGGGUAAAGAAGCACCGGCUAACUCCGU
rnacentral:rRNA from 1 species